AUUGAACGCUGGCGGCAGGCCUAACACAUGCAAGUCGAACGGUAACAGGAAGCAGCUUGCUGCUUCGCUGACGAGUGGCGGACGGGUGAGUAAUGUCUGGGAAGCUGCCUGAUGGAGGGGGAUAACUACUGGAAACGGUAGCUAAUACCGCAUAAUGUCGCAAGACCAAAGAGGGGGACCUUCGGGCCUCUUGCCAUCGGAUGUGCCCAGAUGGGAUUAGCUUGUUGGUGGGGUAACGGCUCACCAAGGCGACGAUCCCUAGCUGGUCUGAGAGGAUGACCAGCCGCACUGGAACUGAGACACGGUCCAGACUCCUACGGGAGGCAGCAGUGGGGAAUAUUGCACAAUGGGCGCAAGCCUGAUGCAGCCAUGCCGCGUGUAUGAAGAAGGCCUUCGGGUUGUAAAGUACUUUCAGCGGGGAGGAAGGGAGUAAAGUUAAUACCUUGGCUCAUUGACGUUACCCGCAGAAGAAGCACCGGCUAACUCCGUG
rnacentral:rRNA from 1 species